rnacentral:rRNA from 1 species
GGCGUAGGUGGCUAAUUAAGUCGGGUGUGAAAUCCCAGGGCUCAACCCUGGAACUGCAUUCGAUACUGGUUGGCUAGAGUUCGGGAGGGGGAUGCGGAAUUCCGAGUGUAGCAGUGAAAUGCGUAGAGAUUCGGAGGAACACCUGAGGCGAAGGCGGCAUCCUGGACCGAUACUGACACUGAGGCCCGAAAGCGUGGGGAGCAAACA